GGGCGGAUGGUUUAGUGGUAUAAUACUCCCUUAGCAUCGUGUCACUUUGUGGUCUGGUCUGGGAGUGGUCCGGGGUUCGAUUCCCCGUCUGUCCA